UACGUAGGGUGCAAGCGUUGUCCGGAAUUAUUGGGCGUAAAGAGCUCGUAGGCGGUUUGUUGCGUCGGCUGUGAAAUCCCGAGGCUCAACCUCGGGUCUGCAGUCGAUACGAGCAAACUAGAGUGUUGCAGGGGAGACUGGAAUUCCUGGUGUAGCGGUGAAAUGCGCAGAGUAUCAGGAGGAACACCCGGUGGCGAAGGCGGGUCUCUGGGCAACAACUGACGCUGGAGGAAGCGAAAGCGUUGGGGAGCGAACAGG
rnacentral:rRNA from 1 species